CAGUAGCCACGGUAAUACGGAGGGGGCUAGCGUUGUUCGGAAUUACUGGGCGUAAAGCGCACGUAGGCGGCUUGGUAAGUUAGAGGUGAAAGCCUGGAGCUCAACUCCAGAAUUGCCUUUAGGACUGCCGAGCUAGCAGGUGAGAGAGGUAAGUGGAGUUCCGAGUGUAGAGGUGAAAUUCGUAGAUAUUCGGAAGAACACCAGUGGCGAAGGCGGCUUACUGGCUCAUACUGGACGCUGAGGUGCGAAAGCGUGGGGAGCAAACAGGAUUAGAUACCCCAGUAGUCCCUGUCUCUUAUAC
rnacentral:rRNA from 1 species